rnacentral:lncRNA from 1 species
GAUUUUGGAGUGGCAGUGUGUACAGUGGAUGGACCUGCUUACAGGCUCUUGGUGUCUGCCUCAAGACAAUGCAUGUGCAUUGCCUGAAAUUUAACAGCAAGAUCCCCUGGAGAACAGAAUGAGCAGCAGAAUGAAGAACAAUGUUCAUUGAGGUGUUCUAGUGAGCUCUACACAUGGCAGAAGGCAUGUCUUGGAGGAUAAGAAACAAAGGACUAAAUAUAAAAUGACAGAAUAGCUUAGGUUGGAAAGGUCCUUAGAGAUCAUCUGUUUCCAACUACUCUGCUGUGGGUAGGGAAAAUUUCCGCUAGAUCUCAUUGCUCAAAGCCACAUCCAACCUGGCCUUGAAAUAUGCAAAGUGUUGUGUCUAUGCCUCAUGGAAGGUGCUGUCUUCAAGAUCCUCUAGAUUGGAACAAAGUACUACACUGAAGAGUUGUAAGACAGGAGCUUCAUGCUGAAAAACCACACUCAUAUG